rnacentral:lncRNA from 1 species
CUAGUUACCACUCAUCUCAUUAUGCACACAAAAGGUACUCUUGUUACCCAGGCCUUCCAAGGGGUUCAGGAGCCGUGUGUAGGAAAACAGUCAGGUCUUAUGAUGCCACACCUGCCCUGAGAAGGGCUUUAACUUGAGCUAGCCUGGUUGGGUUUGGAUGAAAGCAAUGGGCAACAAGAUGAACCACCCAGAAAAGCACCCGGGGAAGGGAAAAACAUGAACUGGAGCUUCCCCAGUGUGGCCCAGAGGAACAGGAGAGUUUACCCACAACAGCGCACCUGGUAGAGGCAGGGCAGGUGGGGGCAAUGGACCAUGUGAGGUUGCUACCAGCAUCUUAAACCUUUAGAGUGAUGGAGUGCCAGCACCACAGAUGGAUUUGUAGGAAUGUCAGCAGGCCUGAGACCUAGAGCUGGUGCUACAAAGGGCAGGAUUUUAUCUAGCAUGAUUACUGUUAUUCCACUACUUUAUUUUUUUAACCCGUCCCUUCUAAAUUCUAUUUUUCUUCUGAAUACUAGACCAUCCUUUUGGGGGAUCUCUGAUGGAGGUUUUAGUUAUUUCAAUUUUGAGAAACUUACUAAUGCCUGGUGGUUUCUGAAUGAAGAAGCACCCAAAUCUUUGUGCAAAGUCGAGCCUAUUGUUCUAAAUGUGUCCACUGAGGGCUGUGGCUUUAGUUCUGUGGGUAGGGUGCUUAUCCAGCAUGUACAAGACCCUAGGUUCCAUCCCCAGCACUGCUGGUGUGGUGCAGUGAUACAUGCCUCUUACCACAGCAGUUUGGGCUCUGAGACAGGAGGAUCAUGAGCCAGCCUGGAUGUGAGGUGAGGCUGUCUCAAAAAAAAUUUUAAAGAGUUUUUUUUUUAUUUAUACUCUAUUGUGACAUAAAGGUUCUGCUUUGUAAAAAUACCAUUAAGAGGGGCUAGCAAGAUGGUUCUGUGGGUUAAGGCACUUGCCACCAAGCCUGACAACCCAAGUUUGAUCCUCGAUACUCACAUGAUGUGAUGUGAGAAGGAACUCCCACAAGUUGUCCAUUGACCUCCAAAUAAAUAGAUAAAUGCAAUUUAAAAGCUUUAAAAGAAAAUGGAUAAAAAGCCACAGUGUGGGAGAAAACUAUGUGAAUACAUAUGUAGGACAAAGGACUCAUUUUUAUACUGCAAAGAAAUUCUUAGAACUGGUUGCUAAGAAAAAUCAAUAAAAUAUAAUGCUUUUUCCCUAUUAAUCAUCUAGCUCUCAAAUAUUAAAAAAGAAAUUCUUAUAGCCUAUUUUCAGUAAUAAACAGAUAUAUUGUUUUAGCAGUACCAGUGAGAAAGACUAACUACUAGCAUAAGACUAGGCACGGUGCCUUCAAGCUCUGUUGGGAAUAUGAAUGGGUAUUACCCCUUCUGAAGGGCCAUUUGGCACAAAUUACUUCCCUAAGAAAUUGCAUGUCCAGGAAUUUGUUCAAAAGCUGAUUGUUAGUUAUAGAAUAUUUUAAGAGCAUGUAUACUGCCUAAAUGGCUCCAGCAGGGACUAGGAAUGAUGGGACACGAUACAAUAAAAUUACAUGCAGCCAGUAAAAUAUUGUUAUAGAAAUAUAAAGAUUAGCAUCACAAUGCAUAAAAUCAAAGGGUAAAUGAGUGACGGCUAUAUAUGUAUUUCUUUAAAACACAUAUACCUAUAUAAAGUGAACUCUAAAAUUCAAAAUUGUGAUUUCAGUUGUUGGGUUUGGUGUGUGUGUGUGUGUGUGUGUGUGUGUGUGUGUCUUUAUGUUUCUAUAUUUUCUUCUUUAGUUAAUUGUAUAAUGUCUUAGUCAGUUUUGCGCUUCCAGAGUAGAAUCUUUUCAUAUUUUUGUUUCUUACAUGCUGGGAGCUGGGAAACCUGAGAUCAAGGCGGAGCACGUGCUAUCUGGGGAGAGAUGACUUGCUGGGUCCUUAGACAGCAGAAAGCAGGGGGAGAGAUAGGACCAACUCCCACCACAAAGUCCUUUUAUAAGGCAUCUGAGCUCACAUCCACAUGGAUUGAGCACUUCCAUCAAAGACUCUCACUCUUAGAACUGUCCAAGGCACAGUUUUGGAGGAGAUACAGUCAAACUGCAAGAUCCAGUAGCCCUACCGAAAAAUAUUCAUGUUUCCUGUUAUUUCCCAGGGGAUAGUCCAUGUGUCCUAGGGAGUGGCUCAUGUUUCCCAGGGAAUAGUCCAUGUUUCCUAGAGGAUGAUCUGUAUUUCCUAGGGAAUAGUCCUUGUUUCUUGGAUAAUGGUCCACGUUUCUUAGAGAAUGGUCCAUGUUUCCUAGGGAGUGGUCUAUGUUUCCUAGGGAAUGCUCCAUGUUUCUUGAAGUGUGUCUUAGCUGAUGGUUCAUAUCCUAGGGGCUUUAAUUAUAUUUUGAUUUCCUACAGAAGUUUGUCAAUGGUCUUUCUUCUGCCUCUCUCCUUGGCUUAUACAGUUUCUGAUUGUCCAUCUGGUCAACUGUGGCACUUUUCCAUACUCCCCCGCUUUUGAAGGACAUAUAAUUCUUCCGGUUCUUUUCUAAGUAUAGCUCCUGAAUUUUUCUUCUCAACAUGCUUGCAUAAAACUCCUGUAUCUCAGAUACCCUGGUGUAGGUUUACCAAGAUAGUCUGAAUUCCAGAUAGGGAGACAUGAUGAGACCAUGGACUUCCAGAGUUUGGGAGUCAGGUAGCGGUAGAUCCUGGCAGUUCUUUG